AAAAAUUUAGUUAAUAUAUAACAUUAACUUGUCAAGUUAAAAUAAUUAAUUAUAAUAAUUUUUA
rnacentral:tRNA from 1 species